GCAGACGGUGGGAUUCGAACCCACGCCCACUGACGUGGACUACGACCUGAACGUAGCACCUUAACCUCUCGGUCACGCCUGCU
rnacentral:tRNA from 1 species